CCUACGGGAGGCAGCAGUGAGGAAUAUUGCGCAAUGGGGGAAACCCUGACGCAGCAACGCCGCGUGGGUGAAGAAGGCCUUCGGGUCGUAAAGCCCUUUCGGACGGGACGAACGCUCCGCGGUGACAACCCGCGGAGUCUGACGGUACCGUAAGAAGAAGCACCGGCUAACUCCGUGCCAGCAGCCGCGGUAAUACGGAGGGUGCAAGCGUUGUUCGGAAUUACUGGGCGUAAAGCGCGUGUAGGCGGCCUUGCAAGCCAGACGUGAAAGCCCUCGGCUU
rnacentral:rRNA from 1 species